AUACUUACCUGGACGGGAUCAAUGGGAUAUCAACGAAGCCUAUGGCCAAGGUUAGCAGCCUCCAUUGCAUUUGUGAGGGGUACUACUUAUCUAAGGUCUAUCCAAGUGAAAGAGUCUACGUCAAAAUUUGUGGCAGUGGGGUUCGCAAGGCCUAAG